UUCGGCGGUUAUGGCGGGAAGGAAACACCCGGUUACAUUCCGAACCCGGAAGUUAAGCUUCUCUGCGCCGAUGGUACUGCACUCGGGAGGGUGUGGGAGAGUAGGUCACCGCCGGAC
rnacentral:rRNA from 1 species